rnacentral:rRNA from 1 species
CCGUCUGCGACUGCGGAGGACAUU